GAUCCUGGCUCAGGAUGAACGCUAGCUACAGGCUUAACACAUGCAAGUCGAGGGGCAUCACAGCGGCAGCUUGCUGCCGUGGGUGGCGACCGGCGCACGGGUGAGUAACGCGUAUCCAACCUGCCCCAUGGUAGGGAAUAGCCCGGAGAAAUCCGGAUUAAUGCCCUAUAUGCUCCGAAGAGGGCAUCUGACUUGGAGCAAAGAUUUAUCGCCAUGGGAUGGGGGAUGCGUCUGAUUAGGCGGCAGGCGGGGUGACGGCCCACCUGGCCUACGAUCAGUAGGGGUUCUGAGAGGAAGGUCCCCCACAUUGGAACUGAGACACGGUCCAAACUCCUACGGGAGGCAGCAGUGAGGAAUAUUGGUCAAUGGGCGGUAGCCUGAACCAGCCAAGUAGCCGUGCGGGAUGACGGCCCUAUGGGUUGUAAACCGCUUUUGGAGGGGAAUAAAGUGCCUCACGUGUGGGGCUUUGCAUGUACCCUCAGAAUAAGGACCGGCUAAUUCCGUGCCAGCCGCAGC
rnacentral:rRNA from 1 species